AAAUAACUUGUCCUUACCGAUUCAACGUCGUCUAGCCCAGACUACUGGACGGAUCGGAUGUUUGACGUAGGCAUCCGCUAAGAAAUUAUUGCUGAAAAUUCAAUCCCUAAGGGGGCAAAACAAGGGGUUUUAGGCGUAUUUGAUACGGAUAUCUGAUUGCUAAUUUAUUUAUUUUCGUUUGUUCAAGGGUUGCCUUGGUGAUACGGAUGAUAAUUUGGCUGUCACGCGUAAGAAGAGUACAGUAAUUGUGAUCAUUACAAUUAUUUACGCUGUUCAAAUUUCACAAUCGAACACUUUUACUACUUUUGGUCCGCCGAAGGCGUACCGCCCACACUCUCCGUCUAAAUAUUCUCGU